rnacentral:rRNA from 1 species
AGCCGCCGCGGUAACACCGGCGGCCCGAGUGGUGAUCGUGAUUAUUGGGUCUAAAGGGUCCGUAGCCGGUUUGGUCAGUCCUCCGGGAAAUCUGAUAGCUCAACUAUUAGGCUUUCGGGGGAUACUGCCAGACUUGGAACCGGGAGAGGUAAGAGGUACUACAGGGGUAGGAGUGAAAUCUUGUAAUCCCUGUGGGACCACCUGUGGCGAAGGCGUCUUACCAGAACGGGUUCGACGGUGAGGGACGAAAGCUGGGGGCACGAACCGGAUUAGAUACCCGGGUAGUCCCAGCCGUAAACGAUGCUCGCUAGGUGUCAGGCAUGGCGCGACCGUGUCUGGUGCCGCAGGGAAGCCGUGAAGCGAGCCACCUGGGAAGUACGGCCGCAAGGCUGAAACUUAAAGGAAUUGGCGGGGGAGCACAACAGCGGGUGGAAGCCUGCGGUUUAAUUGGACUCAACGCCGGACAACUCACCGGGGGCGACAGCAAUAUGUAGGCCAAGCUGAAGACUUUGCCUGAAUCGCUGAGGGGAGGUGCAUGG